rnacentral:rRNA from 1 species
GAUGAACGUUGGCGGCGUGCCUAAUACAUGCAAGUCGAACGAAGAGCUCGGUGUAGCAAUACACUGAAACUCUUAGUGGCGAACGGGUGAGUAACGCGUUGGUGACCUGCCCCAAAGAGAGGGGUAACAGUUCGAAAGGAUUGCUAAUACCUCAUGUGAUCGUCUGGAUUAGAUGCCUAAUGAUCAAAGGAGCUUGCUCCGCUUUGAGAGGGGCCUGCGUACCAUCAGCUAGUUGGUAGGGUAAUGGCCUACCAAGGCUAUGACGGUUAGGGGACCUGAGAGGGUGGCCCCCCACAAUGGAACUGAAACACGGUCCAUACACCUACGGGUGGCAGCAGUAGGGAAUAUUGGUAAUGUGCGAAAGCGCGAACCAGCAACGCCGCGUGUGCGAAGAAGGCCUUCGGGUUGUAAAGCACUUUUCGGGAGGAAGAGGAAGGACUGUACUCCCGGAAUAAGUCUCGGCUAACUACGUG